rnacentral:lncRNA from 1 species
AAACCUGGCACCAGUGUGAUGUGACACGUCUACCACGAUUUCCUCCUUGGUUGAAGUGCUUCAUCGUACCUCUGCUGCACCAGUAAGAGCUGUGUGCUCCAACUGCUGGCCUCCAGCUGAGAGCGCCGUGCUUCCCUUCCCAAUGGAAAAGCAACAGAAGUGGCCAUUAAUAGUACGAAUUUAUAGCUUAAGAGGUUUGCAAGUAUCUAAGUGCUGCAUGUGCUAUGAUAAUUUAUCUUUGAACUUGUUAGUAACAAUGCAUAAUUAACAAGUAAGCUGUAGGAACAUGCAAUUGCUAUGUAUUUACAUGGUAUGUGCCAGGCAUUGUGGUGUAAUUACAGAGCUGAUACCUGCUCUGUAGAAUGAGGCGCACAGUGUGCUCUAUUUCAUAUUAUUUCCCACAGCCGCCCAGUGAAGCAGAGCACAGCAUAGCAGGGUUUAAUGACACGCUUUGCUCCAGCGGAGGCAAUCCAUGAGGACAGAGCUACACAGACCUGUGCCCAGCACUGGCAUUUUGGCAUCACCGUAUGUCCUGCUCGCUUGAGUGGCAAUGCACAUGGAGCUCAAGUUACUUAUGCUUUGGAUUGCUGCCCUUUCGGUGAUAUAAAUGGAGUUGACUAUGCAGUACGGCAAUUUUUUCCUCUCAUAUAUAAUAUGACGCAUCUUUGCAAUAAUUACAG